rnacentral:tRNA from 1 species
GAUUCCGUAGCUCAGCUGGUAGAGCGGUACACUUUUAAUGUAUAGGUCCUGGGUUCGAGUCCCAGCGGGAUCA